GGUGGUGCAGCUCAGUGGCAGAGCACUUGCUUAGCAAGCAAGAGGCCCUGGGUCUCAUCCCUAGCACUGCAA
rnacentral:tRNA from 1 species